UAUUAAUGCUCAAUUAUUGACCAAUUUUUCUGUCGUUGCUAUUGAUUUAAACAACUGUUAAUAUAGAUCCAAAGAAGCAACUUUUUUCAGUUAAUACCGUAAAGUCUUGUUAUGAAUUGCAAUUGGAUAAUUAGAUUAUAGUUCACCCAAUUUUUUUCAGGCCGUGAUUCAGGAUACUGCGGGAGUAAGACUGCCGAUAUCGUUUGUUAUCCCCGUUGCAUGGCUACACGUAAAUCGGAUGUUUGAAAGAUUAUCAAUAACGACGAUUUAAUUCAAGGAUUUCCAUCAACCACCCUCCGCCGGAUUAGACAAGUUUUGUUGUGUAUUCGCAAAAUAAUCGACAUAAAAGGG